rnacentral:lncRNA from 1 species
CUAAGUUAUUUAUUUGAAUAUGGAAAUUUUUAUUUAAAAAUUAUCACUUUUGUAAACCUUAAUAGUGUAGUUUAAAUACUAUUUCCCUUAUUGAGUUAUACGGAACUCACUCCAAUCCAUGCCCCCCUCAGAUGAUAGAAGUGAUGGUUCACUCACUAAGUUAUCCCUUGAAGCUUGUUUGAAUCCCUUCAUUGAUCCUUAAGAUGAUUAUGAGUGAUAUGUUUUGUCCGCAGUCUGAUGGAACCAGUUGUAAUGAUAGAAGUGGUUCUUAUAACCUUUGUGUAUUUAAAUUUUAGUAGCCAAUUUUUUGGCCUCAGUUGUAAACAUUAAACCUUUGUUUGUUGUAAGGGAUUCUAUUUUUUUUCUACUGC